ACCACCAAGAGAAAUCUGCGCUGUUCCUUAGUUUUUUGACCUUUGUGUCCAGUGUUUUGAGCGCAGGCUGCCAGUGGGUGUGUGGGGUGCGGGCGGCCCUGGGGAGACGCUCACUCCUUGCCCAUGGGAGCCAAACAGCCAGCAAGCACCAGGGCGGUGAUGGGAAUGGAUGGGCCACCUUCAAACGCAGCCCAGCUGCUCGCGCCGUGAGCUCAGUCCCCCUGGCGAGGACGGCGGGCGCAAGCAUUGCUCAGGAAUUCAUUGCUCAGGGGGUUUGCUGUACAAGUUCAUUCCAUCUUGCAGGCAGGUACAUGCAGGUACCAGCCCACGGGCCAGGGCCCCGGUGUGAGCCGCUGUAACCACAGCGACCGUCCCACGCAGAGCCGCCAAAAACCUGCUCGAGCCAAGAAACCAGGCCAGGAGCAGUCGAUGGCAUCCCGGCCCCAGGACCAGAGAGCAAAGGCGGCUCGUUCUGCACAUCAGUCCUUGCUACGUGCAGCAAAAGCCAGCGGGUUUGGUGUUCUGUCACCAACAAAGGUGCUUAGCUGAAAAACAAAGAGUCAGAAAGGACAAAGCGUGGAACGCCACCGUAUUUUCGUGCGAUGUCAGAUCACACAGGAUGACAACGGGGUGGAGUGGAUGAAGCACGGCCUGCCGCGCAAUCCUGCCGACACUCGGUCGCCACGUCACGCUCCUCUAGGGCUGAAGAGACCCGUCCGUCAGAUUUUGCCUUCCCUCAACCAGAGGAAAACAACAAUCGUAACACCAAAAAAAUUAUUUGAUCCAGCAUGUAGUUAAUGGUGUUGGCCUCCUAAGACUUACAACUUAAUAAAAUUGAUCUCACCGCAGUACUGUAAUGAAGAACAGUAGGAUAAGGCUACCCUUGAACUAUGAAAAUUGUAUAUUGUUACCUGCUCGUGCCCUCCUAGGGCUGUGGCCGCCGCAGCCUCUCCAAGCUGCCAUUUGUCUGGCUCUGCCAGCAGCUCUGGUGGCUGCGAGCAGCUGCUUUGGGCCAGCAAGGGAAGAGGGACAGCGCUCGCUCGCUUGUCUCUCUGGGUAAUAACCCACAGGCUGCAAAAACACUGAUCACAAUGCUGUUUUGUCUGUAGUGUGUUAACAACAACAUAUAAAAAAGUCAGAGACUUUAAGAAGUGUACAUUGUAUUUUAUGAAAGUCUUAUUACAAGCCGCUAUGUAUUAAAUCAUAUCGAUUUCAAAGUAGGUGGACAGUUCUCCAUCUUCUUCUUCAGCUUAGCACCUCCUUCUACAUCUGCUUGUGCACGGGCUUUAAGAGAAAGGGCUUCCAAGCUGAACAGCCAGUAAUCACCGGGUGCCGGUGCCCUGCUUUCACCUGAGCCCACCUACGGCUAUAUCUCUAGAUGGUAUAGAAUAUACCAUACAUAUAUCUAUGUGGUAUAAUUACUCUGUUUUCUCCAGUGAACAACGCCCUGUGUUGUUCUGCCUCCGUGCAAAGCCAAGGUCACUGCUGGGACACACACAGUAGCUACCAGAACAUAUUUUAAGUAUUUAUACAUGUUUAUAUUGACAGUCCUGACCCCACUAAACCAGCGUAACUAUUCCCAUCCUGCACCUGCCCCUAAACCCACCGCCUUUGCUCAACGACUUUUAUAUCGUGCUCGCGUACACAAACUCACCCUACAAGCUGCUUUUCUUGGACAUCAGGACUUCCAUAGCAUCCUUUAGUCAAUGUGCUAGAGAAAGCUUUUAUUAAAUGCUGCUAAUUUUUUUAUUGAUCAAA